GGAGGAAGUAGGGGAUCGUAAGACCUUGCGCUUUUGGAGUGGCCGAUGCCUGAUUAGCUAGUUGGUGGGGUAAGAGCCUACCAAGGCGACGAUCAGUAGUUGGUCUGAGAGGACGACCAGCCACAUUGGGACUGAGACACGGCCCAGACUCCUACGGGAGGCAGCAGUGGGGAAUUUUGGACAAUGGGCGAAAGCCUGGUCCAGCAAUGCCGCGUGAGUGAAGAAGGCCUUCGGGUUGUAAAGCUCUUUCAGUCGAGAAGAAAAGGUUGCGACUAAUAAUCGCAACUUAUGACGGUAUCGACAGAAGAAGCACCGGCUAACUACGUGCCAGCAGCCGCGGUAAUACGUAGGGUGCGAGCGUUAAUCGGAAUUACUGGGCGUAAAGGGUGCGCAGGCGGCUCUGUAAGUCAGAUGUGAAAUCCCCGGGCUUAACCUGGGAAUUGCGUUUGAAACUACAAGGCUAGA
rnacentral:rRNA from 1 species